GCUUAACACAUGCAAGUCGAGCGAGAACCCAGGCUUCGGCCUGGGGGACAGCGGCGAACGGGUGAGUAACACGUGGGUAAUCUGCCCUCGGCAUCGGGAUAGCCCGGGGAAACCCGGAUUAAUACCGAAUGGCCCGGCAGCUCUUCGGAGCGGUCGGAAAAGGUAGCUUUGGCCUCCGGCCGAGGAGGAGCCCGCGGCGGAUUAGCUAGUUGGUGAGGUAACGGCUCACCAAGGCUACGAUCAGUAUCCGGCCUGAGAGGGCGGACGGACACACUGGGACUGAGACACGGCCCAGACUCCUACGGGAGGCAGCAGUGGGGAAUUGUUCGCAAUGGGCGAAAGCCUGACGACGCAACGCCGCGUGGAGGAUGAAGAUCUUCGGGUCGUAAACUCCUGUCGAGUGGAAAGAACAGCUUCCGGGCGAAUAUCCCGGGAGCCUGACGGUACCACUAAAGGAAGCCCCGGCUAACUCCGUGCCAGCCGCCGCGGUAAUUC
rnacentral:rRNA from 1 species